GCGCAUCUGCUUUAACCUGCUACUGCUGCUCCAAUGGAAAAGAUUCUAACAAGGCCCAUUGCCUCACUAACUGACUCCACUUACAAGUCGUCAGUUGGCCAAGUGGUGUCGUACAUAUAGCGUGACAAACGUCUCUAGAAGGUGGACCAGUUCAUUUAAAAGGGUAGCCCACUCAAAACCGAUUCGAUUCUGCGCCACUAGGCCGACCUAGUACUCUGAUUGACUUCUCCGUAGCCCUUUGGAGGUAGGUGGAAGCGGUUCUACUUGGAAAUGAUCAGCUGCGGAGCAACGGCUUGGGUAAUGGUUUCGUUGGUGGUGUUCUUUGGAUCACUGAAUGUGAUGGGCUCUAAUGGUCUCAACGGGGCCACUCAGGAUGGAGGACCUCCCAUCGAUUGUGAAGAACUGGUUGUCUAUUACAAGGUGUUGGCAAAACAUUUCGAGGGGAAGUGUGGUAAUACCUGUCCCGAAAAUAUCCAGAAUGCGAUCAAAUGGUUUCGACGGGCGCAAGCCCAACUGGCAAGUGAAUGUUACUUUGAUGAGUAUGCUGACUGAUUCCGUUGAAUAAAUGUUGGAAAUGCUUAGUAUGAA